rnacentral:rRNA from 1 species
UACAGAGGGUGCGAGCGUUGUUCGGAAUUAUUGGGCGUAAAGGGCGCGUAGGCGGUGCGGUAAGUCACCUGUGAAAUCUCCUGGCUCAACUGGGAGCUUGCAGGCGAAACUGCCGUGCUGGAGUGUGGGAGAGGUGCGUGGAAUUCCCGGUGCAGCGGUGAAAUGCGUAGAUAUCGGGAGGAACACCUGUGGCGAAAGCGGCGCACUGGACCACAACUGACGCUGAGGCGCGAAAGCUAGGGGAGCAAACAGG